rnacentral:lncRNA from 1 species
GUAGUUGAGAUCAAUGAAGUGGUCACUGAUGGCAACAAUAUCUACUUUGCCAGGGAUGAAGGAAUUACGUCAAGAAAAGCAGCAGACACAAGAACAUGGCAGAUUCAGGCAGAGAUGAAGAUGGAGCAGAGAAGCCAAGUCAGACUGCACUUGGUACUUCUCUGGUUGCUUCAAGAAAAUACCUGGUGGAAGCAGGAGGGAUUGUUUUUACAAUCCAUCAUGGCGGCCAGAUGCCACAGAGAGAAGAUCCCAGAGUGUCUGGUCUUGUUACAUCCACAGUCAGGGAGAGAUGAAUGAUGCUAUUCUCCUCCUUUUUAUUCAGUCUGGGAUCUCGGGCCAUAGAAUGGCACCACACACAUUUAAGGCUUCCAAGCAAGCUCAUUAAAAUGUCAUCUAUCAACAAGAAAAUCUACAUGCUGAUCUAUCACCAGUUUAUAUUAUAGUACCCACCCUUUUUUUCUAGCAAGCAUCUUUCAUAAACAAUAUCUGUGAGA